AGCACUUUACUUCACUCGCUUCGUAUAACUUAAUUGUAUGAAUUACUUUUUGUUUUUUUUUUUUCAAAACAACUCUUUGCUAUUUAAGUCUAAACAGUUAUAAUUCAAAAUCUUAAAUUCAAGAUUUUCAAAAAUGUGUUGUAUUUUAGAUACUCUUUGUUCUGCAGUGACAUAUCCUGUUCGAUUAUGUCUAUCCAUAUUGUGCAGUUUAAUAAUUGUGGUAGUAUUUGUUGUUGGUUUAUAUUUGUUCAUACAACGUGAAUUAGAACCCGAAUCGACAACAAAUUUGGUGGAUGUAGAUCAAGCUGAAUAAGAAAGUGACUCAUAAGCGGAGGAGGCCAAGAAUAUUGAUAAUCAUAAAACAGCUGCAAUUUGUUUUUAUCUCUGCUAAUAUUUUUUUUUGUUUCCAUUAAAAAAGAUAUUUACCUGUCAAAUUAUUUGAGUGCGUUUGUUGAUACAGAAUUUCAAAUGGAUUGUCAUGUUUUUAUUAAUUGUAACACAUAUUAAAAUUUAAGAAACUUGAAUAACCUUAA